CAGAACAAGCCAAAUGAUUAUUUCAUAAGCCAAUACAAAUUGUUCUCAUGAAACAGGUAUGAUCUGACCUAGCCUGGAGAAUUAAUUUCCACUGAGCUAACUCCUGGUAAACAGUCCAAUCUCUUUCUCUGGACUGUGCAAAUGAGGAGAAGGAAAGAUAGAAGGGGAAGGAGGGCUGCUCUGGGGAAGUCAGUGGUGUGGGCUUGUAAGGAAUGACAGGGAGAAGGAUUGGAAGGGGGGACAAAGUGUUUUGUCAUGGCUGGGAGCUUGGUGGAGCAAGAUAGGAUAGGGCAAGCUUGUCAAGGGAAGAACACUGUGAGCAGUAUGUGCUUUUUUAUAAUAGUGAUUUUCCUUCAGCCAUAGCAGUGCUAGAAGAAUCAUAGGUGAAGAAGGCAGCCCAAAAGGGAUUGUGAUCCUCCCAAGCAGCCCAGGUGAUCUCUAUUACGUAGUUAAGGGUUGGCAUUACCUCUCACUGCCCCAUUACUACCAUGGGGCAGUGAGAGCCCCAUGAUAUCUAGUCUGAGACUGUAUGAUGUAUGUUUACCCUAUGUGCAUCACAGAGGUAGUCUACAAGUCUAAGGUGACAUGGUUCACUCUAAGGAAUCUAGAGCUGGUCUGCACGUUCUGUGACUACACAAGGGGUAGAAGCUGCUUGCCAGAGCCCUGCGUCUAAGAGUGAAGGAGACCAGACAGUACUGAGAAGACGGGGACUGUAAAAUUAGUGUGGAGUGGAUGCUGGGGAAGAACUCCAGGAAAAGAAACGGCCUGGAAAGAAGCAUGACAGAAAAAGACCGAGAGAGCAAGCAGAAGACUAGGGCACAAUGCUGGUAAACAUUUGGGUUCCUCAGGCUGGCCCAGAACAAUGGCUGGAAGAUGGGUGGACCAGAGAAGGAUUUAAGGCCAAGCUCUGACUUGCAAACAAAAUUCAUGUUUGGAUUUGACCCUGCUGAUUGUCAUGGGUGUUGCUGAGUUUACAGUUUUCCUGACUGGGGGAGGAACACGCAGGGACAAGAGCAGCAGGGUCAGGUGUGGCUGCUCACUUCAGGCUUGGUGUUUUCCUCUCCGUGGUCUUUUCUCACUCUGGGAAAGUCCACUGUUGCUACAGAAUCAUUUAGCAUCAUUUUCCAUCUAACUUUUGUUCAUACACCAGAGGAUGGAAAAUUUGCAGUAAGUCAGAGGGACUUUGACAUUGGAGUUCAUUAAAGAUAAUUAAUACUUGGAAUCACUUACAUGCUUAUUUUUAUUUUGUUGAAAUAUGUUGCUUAUCCUGGGACAUGCCCAGGUACAUAUAUCAGAAAGGUUCUACUGUGUUUCUUUGUUUUAGUGGCAGGAACUGUAGUAUUAUCUCAAAUUUUACUUUCUACUGCAAAAGGUAUUGGGAGAGAAAAUUCCUUUCCUUCCAGUGCCAUUUUGUUUGUUAGGGUUGCCAGAAGCACAAACAUUGCUGCUACUACUGCAUCUUCUCCUUAGGCCAUCUGCUUUUAAAAAAGUAUUAUUACUUUUAUUUUAACAACACUGUUUUGAAUACGAAUGCUCAAAGCCUGUUCUCAGGUGCUGCAACAUACUCUUGCUUUGGGACAGCGAACAGCUUCAGCAUCAUGUUUACAAACAGAUCCUGAUGUUCACACAGAGCUCUGCUGCACAGCUGUGAUGCAAAAACCUGGCACAGACACACUACAGUAGCACGUGGCAAGUCACAGUAUUUGACACCAGCAUGGUGGCCCGAGGAUUUGCAGUGUGACCACAAACCCACCUCUAGUCAAACAUCAUGGAGAGGUGAAGCAGAGACUGGUCAGGGCAGAAAGUUCAGUGAUGAUGGCAGUAAGGAAACUCAGAGAAGGGGAGCACGUGCAGGAGGCAAAGACUUACUGGAGGAUUUCAAAGAACGUAAGAGAAAAUGUGGCAGGCUGGGAUAGUGACUAUUUGAUAAUAGAAAUAAGAAUAAGCAAUAAGAAUGAAAAACUGGAAGGGAUCAGACAGACAAACUAUUGGGGAUCCUUCACUGGUUUCAAGUGGAAGAAGUGUCAUGGCCAAAAUGGAGGAGGAGAAAAGCCAUGCAAAAAACGAAACUGGAAAGGUUUUAUAUCAGGGCUGCAAAGAUCUGGGGCAAAUCCAUCCUUAGUGGAGAGGCAGAUGUACAUAGAAGAGAAAGAAAAGCCAGUGAGAUCAGUGAGCAGAAAUGAUGGUAUCCCGUGCAGUCAUGGCCACGGAUGUAUCCAGGGUAGUUUUAAAUUAGUGCCAGUGCUGCUGCAUGGGUAGUAACACCACUGUCAGUGGUGUAGCUGUGGUAGCAAGGGCUGCCAGCAGUCCUGGAGGUAGGCCAGUGAGCUGCAUCUCCAUGAGCUGAAGAAAUCUUUCCAGGAAGACAACCAGAACCACUCAGGGAGGCAGCAGCAGAACGGAAUCACAGCAAAGCUAUUUUUUGUUCAUAGUGGAUCAGAUGCAUUACUUAAUUCCCAUAUUUACAUUUUUCUCAUGGUCCUGGCCCCUCUAACCCACAGACACUGUUCCCCCAUGCUGGCCCAGUAUUGCAGCAUCUGUAUCACCAGUACCAGCCUGUGGUACGGGUGCCCUAAGGGCUUCCAGGUGGUCUGUGAAUGAGAGCUUUUCCCCUCUGUUGGGCUUCAGCGCUCACAGGGUGACGGUUGGAAUAACCUCUCCCUCCACAAUGAAAAUGAAAUGAAAGAGCCCUCCACCUCCUUCUUACAAGCAGAGUCCUGGCCUAUUAACCAGGAUGGCUGGAAGGGGGGUGCAAAGCAGGGGAGAAACAUAUCUUUGUGUCUGCUUGACAACUUUGUAAGAGGCAAUGUUACCAUGGCAAUGGGUGGUCUUUAGUGAGAAGGGGAGUGAGCUAUAGUGUCAGGGUGAGGAGAAGGGGGAGCAAUGCUAAAGGGAGGCAGCUUGAAAGUAGAGGGGAAAAGGGGGAGCAGGGACUGCACAGCAGUCAUCAGUGGGUGAUGAUCAGAGAAGGACAUUCAACAAAGGGCAGGUGGCUCUGACAGCAAGCCUGGGGGGUGGCAUGGCUUCUUUGAACACAGGCUCUCUCCCAAGCUGCUACAAGAUGGGCACCUCUGGGAGGGACUGCAUCUUUCAGAGGCGUCAUUGCCUCUGGGCAACAGGGUACCACGCUGAGCCCCUGAAACUUCUGCCUGGCCUGAAAGCCACCACCUAGACGUAAGCAGGCUGCUCGCAUCCAUCCUACUCCCAAGUCCUUCUGCAUGUUAGAGGAAGCCUCAUGCCCAUCCCAAGACGACCACACACCAUGGCCACCACAGAACGGUUGGUUGGCAACAGAAACCAGUAGUCUGGGUUGGAGCCAGAGAGAUACUCCAGCACUGCAGGAAAACACUGCUGAAAGGCCAGCACCACAUGGGAAAGGUCUCCU